AUGGAGACCCCAAAUGAAGUGAUGUCGUACUCAUCCCUCUCCAAAAUCGAUAGCUACUACAGCCAGACAGCUCCUAUGUCCGAUCUAGCUCCAGGAAACACUUACCCGGUGCAUGACUAUCUCUAUGAGCCAUCUCUGGAACCAGACUUUCCAUCUGAAUAUGGUUCAAGAGAAGAUCCGUUCCCUACAGCUCAUGCUAGUUCAACUAUCAAUCUGAAGACCGUGCUAGGUGGUCUUGCUGCGAUUGUUUCGCGUCCAAGCAAGAUUGGGGAUGAUGCAUCACGGCAGCAAAGUUUCAGCACAGAUGUAUCAUUUCUAGGCGCUGGCAAGGAUGGUGACUUGCAUUCAUCUGUCUGCGUUCCGAGUGCACCACCGCUACUUGAAGCAAAUGCUUUACAGUUCAGUGCAUACAGAGAGGUGCUCCAGGCAGAUCCCCCGGAAUGGUUACCGGAUAGCUCUGCCAGUGUAUGCCUGCAGUGCAGCUUUCCUUUCACAGCUCUGACUCGUGGAAGGCACCAUUGCCGCUUCUGUGGAGGUAUAUUCUGCAAAGAAUGUUCCAAGGGAAGAUGCUUGAUGCCCAUGAAGUUCAGACUGCGUGAUCCUCAGAGAGUGUGUGAUGCUUGCUACGACAGACUUGAUCCACUCCAGGCCUUAUUGAUCAACUACAACAGUAAUGCCAUGCAGCCUGCCAAACAUGACGUCAUGGAUUGGACAAGUACGAGGAGCUGGUUGAAUUUGCCUGUUGGAUUGUCAAUGGAGUAUGAAAUAUACAAGGCAACAAACACACUGAGGAAAUAUUGCCAGGUUUCUAGAUUAAAUCCUGAGAAGUCAAUCCCAUCAUCUAUCCUCAAGGGAGCAAAGGGGCUUGCUGUGCUCACAGUGGCCAAAGCAGGUGCGGUUCUUACAUACAAAAUGGGCACUGGUCUUGUAGUUGCUCGCCGAUCAGAUGGAUCAUGGUCUGCGCCAUCAGCGAUUUUAUCUGUUGGAUUGGGAUGGGGAGUGCAGAUUGGAGGAGAAUUGACAGAUUUUAUAAUUGUGCUUCAUGAUCUUAAAGCUGUCAAGGCAUUCAGCAGCCGCAUGCAUCUUUCUCUUGGGGCAGGAUUGAGUGCGGCAGCAGGACCAAUUGGCAGAGCCCUUGAAGCAGAUGUUCGAGCAAGUGAAAAAGGUUCUGGGAUAUGCUACACUUAUAGCUGCAGCAAAGGUGCCUUUGUUGGGGUCUCUCUUGAAGGAAAUGUUGUGACAACCAGAUCAGACACCAAUCUGCGCUUCUAUGGGGACGCCUACUUGACCACGACCGAUAUCCUGUUUGGGAGGGUGGAGAAGCCCAGAGCCGCGCAACCCUUGUACUCGGCUCUAGAUGAUCUGUUCUCAAAAAUGGUUUGCUAG
rnacentral:rRNA from 1 species